GACGGAGGGUGCUAGCGUUGUUCGGAAUUACUGGGCGUAAAGGGCGCGUAGGCGGCUCUUUCAGUCGGGUGUGAAAGCCCGGGGCUCAACCCCGGAACGGCACCCGAGACGGGAGGGCUGGAGACCGGGAGAGGAGGGUGGAAUAGCCAGUGUAGAGGUGAAAUUCGUAGAUAUUGGCUGGAACACCGGUGGCGAAAGCGGCUCUCUGGCCCGGUUCUGACGCUGAGGCGCGAAAGCGUGGGGAGCAAACAGG
rnacentral:rRNA from 1 species